rnacentral:tRNA from 1 species
GUAGCUCAGUUGGUAGAGCGCAACCUUGCCAAGGUUGAGGUCGCCGGUUCGAGGCC